AGAGUUUGAUCAUGGCUCAGGAUGAACGCUGGCGGCGUGCCUAACACAUGCAAGUCGAGCGAUUCACUUCGGUGAAGAGCGGCGGACGGGUGAGUAACGCGUGGGUAACCUGCCUCAUACACAUGGAUAACAUACCGAAAGGUAUGCUAAUACAGGAUAACAUAAGAGAUUCGCAUGGAUUUCUUAUCAAAGCUCCGGCGGUAUGAGAUGGACCCGCGUCUGAUUAGCUAGUUGGUAAGGUAAUGGCUUACCAAGGCGACGAUCAGUAGCCGACCUGAGAGGGUGAUCGGCCACAUUGGAACUGAGACACGGUCCAAACUCCUACGGGAGGCAGCAGUGGGGAAUAUUGCACAAUGGGCGAAAGCCUGAUGCAGCAACGCCGCGUGAGUGAUGAAGGCCUUCGGGUCGUAAAACUCUGUCCUCAAGGAAGAUAAUGACGGUACUUGAGGAGGAAGCCCCGGCUAACUACGUGCCAGCAGCCGCGGUAAUACGUAGGGGGCUAGCGUUAUCCGGAUUUACUGGGCGUAAAGGGUGCGUAGGUGGUUUCUUAAGUCAGGAGUGAAAGGCUACGGCUCAACCGUAGUAAGCUCUUGAAACUGGGAAACUUGAGUGCAGGAGAGGAAAGUGGAAUUCCUAGUGUAGCGGUGAAAUGCGUAGAUAUUAGGAGGAACACCAGUAGCGAAGGCGGCUUUCUGGACUGUAACUGACACUAAGGCACGAAAGCGUGGGGAGCAAACAGGAUUAGAUACCCUGGUAGUCC
rnacentral:rRNA from 1 species